CAGAGGAGCCAAGCGUUGUCCGGACUGACUGGGCGUAAAGCGCACGCAGGUGGUCGCGCAAGUGCGGUGUGAAAGCAGCUCGCUUAACGAGCUGAGGCCAUGGCAGACUGCGCGACUGGAGCCCGUGAGAGGUCCGUGGAAUUGCCGGUGUAGCGGUGAAAUGCGUAGAGAUCGGCAAGAACACCCAAGGGGAAGCCAGCGGACUGGCACGGUGCUGACACUGAGGUGCGAAAGCGUGGGGAGCGAACCGGAUUAGAUACCCGGGUAGUCCACGCCGUAAACGAUGGAUACUCGCCCUGCGGCGGUUCAAUGCCGUUGUGGGGCUCAGCCAACGCGAUAAGUAUCCCGCCUGGGAACUACGAGCGCAAGCUUA
rnacentral:rRNA from 1 species